UUCUAGGACUUGUCAAUCUCCUGUUGAGAAGAAUACACCAUUAUGGAUCAUCAUAACAUGCUCUGUUUUGCUAUCUCUGGUGUUUUUUACUGGCUUGGUGGUCUGGUACUGGAAGCAAAAGAAAAAGGAAAAGAAUGACUUAAUUAUUACAGUUCAUGAAAUGGGUGAGAGUACCAGGAAUGCAUGCUUGUAUCCGGCUGAAUCUGAGAUCAUUUUUUAUGAAGACAGACACUCUGCAACCCCUCCCAUAUGGUCUUCAACAAUGAGUGCAAAUUUUUGUGAAGUGUCUGAUACGGGAAGUGUUGUGACCCCCAGGCUUCUUGGCAGUAUUAAGGAAUACAGGCCUCAGGUUUCCACAGAAGUAAUUAUUACACAAG